AUAUGUAGCCUAUCUCCCACUAUUCUGUGAGUCUUCUCCUUGCUCCCAUUACAUGGUUGUAGCAUUGAGAUCCUAACCCAAGAUCUAUCGAGUCUAAUUUGUGGAGAGAGUUCCAUCUUUCUGAACUCCCACACCUUCUGAUAUUCAAUACUCUCUCUGACCAGAGAUAAGAGUGAUGAGGCACACCCCUCAUAUCCUUUCAUCUGCUUCACCUUAGCCCCUCAAUGGCAAGGUUAAGAGCAACUU
rnacentral:lncRNA from 1 species